UCAUAUGGCAAGUUGCUAUUGGCUGGCGGAAUAAUCUGAUGGCUGGUGAUUGGUGGACAAGUGUGCAUGCAGUCGGGGAGGGAAGCGGCUGGUGUUCAGUGUGCAGUCUCGCACUUCAGUGGAUGGACGUAGUUACGAGUGUGUCAGGGAAGUGAGGAGGUGAUACCCGGCACACGAUGAGCAGCAGUGUGCUAGUACUAAUGGUGAUGGUGAUUGGGGUUGCAUAUGGUAUGGGUGUUAAUCUUGACGAACACGGAGCAAACAAGACGAAGGCAGAGUGGGAAAGGUUGUGGACAGGCGUUCCCUUGGCGAGAUCAGGCUCCACAGUCGGCAACGUUGUCUACAGGUAAGCC
rnacentral:misc_RNA from 1 species